rnacentral:rRNA from 1 species
CACGUAGGGCGCAAGCGUUGUCCGGAAUUAUUGGGCGUAAAGAGCUCGUAGGCGGUCUGUUGCGUCCGCUGUGAAAACUCGGGGCUUAACCCCGAGCCUGCAGUGGAUACGGGCAGACUAGAGGUAGGUAGGGGAGAAUGGAAUUCCCGGUGUAGCGGUGAAAUGCGCAGAUAUCGGGAGGAACACCGGUGGCGAAGGCGGUUCUCUGGGCCUUACCUGACGCUGAGACGCGAAAGCGUGAGGAGCAAACAGG